UUACUUCGGUUACAUCGGUGACAGGUGGUGCAGUGGUUGUCGUCAGCUCGUGUCGUGAGAUGUUGGGUUAAGUCCCGCAACGAGCGCAACCCCUAUUGUUAGUUGCCAUCAUUCAGUUGGGCACUCUAGCGAGACUGCCGGUAAUAACGGAGAAGUGGGAUGACGUCAAAUCAUCAUGCCCCUUAUGACCUGGGCUACACACGUGCUACAAUGGUUGGUACAACGAGUUGCGAGUCGGUGACGGCGAGCUAAUCUCUUAAAGCCAAUCUCAGUUCGGAUUGUAGGCUGCAACUCGCCUACAUGAAGUCGGAAUCGCUAGUAAUCGCGGAUCAGCACGCCGCGGUGAAUACGUUCCCGGGCCUU
rnacentral:rRNA from 1 species